rnacentral:miRNA from 1 species
CACCUCUGGUUCGAGCAGAAAUAAAAGUAUUUGUCGCUUCAGUUGACUUCAUGACUUGCAAUAAGGCUUGAAUUUCAUCGUUGGACUGGGCUUUCUUUCAUUGGUUUUUGUAAACAAGCUUUAAUCAAGAUAUGGAUAUAUUGCGAGUAAAGCUUGUUCACAAAACCGAACAACGAAAGGCCAGUCCAACGAUGAAAUUCAAGCCUUAUUGCAAGUCAUGCAAAGACUUUUAUUUCUGCUAGAACCGCAGAAGUG